GAGCCGUCGAAGGUGGGGCAGAUGAUUGGGGUGAAGUCGUAACAAGGUAGCCGUAUCGGAAGGUGCGGCUGGAUCACCUCCUUUCUAAGGAG
rnacentral:rRNA from 1 species